GCCUAUAUAUACUCCACCCUGAAAAAACAAACGGGGCCUUGUUACGAAGACAGCAUGAACCUGGGACUACGUCUGUGAGACUGUUUGCUCUCCUGUUCUUCCCUCGAGUUUGCGACCUGCUGGCAGGGCCCGAACAGGGACCUGAGUAAGAGGGACAUCGAGGAGAGCGCCCUGAAAUCCAGGGCACUACAGCAAGAACCGCGACUGAUCCCCACGGCUCCUGACGCUGUGAUCCCCAGGCUUUCAAUUUAGUCUUAGCAGUGGAGUCUGUGUCUAUGCGUGGAGGAGAGAGAAAAUCAGCACUCAGAAGCUCCGUGAUGUGAUGCAAGAUAAGAAGUAGCCACAGAGCCAAAGCAAUGACCUAGAAUUCCACGAGGCAGGAUGGACUUCUAGAGUUGAAGUCUCUGCUGGACAAUUGGCCAUGAGCAUUUCAGUGGGUUACCAAGGGUUCGAUUUCCACCUGUGGAGAACAGAUGAAGCUGAAGAGCAGGCAAAAGUUCAACUUGCUCUGCAAUGAAGAUCUACAGCAAAGACUUAAAGCUCACUUCAGGCAGAUCUUCUGGACUAAAGGUAGAGCCUUAUAAGGAAA